rnacentral:lncRNA from 1 species
AGUAUCGACCAAGAAGCUAUUUCAAUUAUCACAAAACGAUAAGAAGGAAAAUUGAUGACAACAAUAAGAGAUAAAAUGGCUACCUGAUACCUCUAUGAUAAUUCCCCUUCCCCCCUCCUCCCCCCACCCCCUUCCAUCCUUUGCCUUGUUCGAUAAAUAACACACACAAGAUCUCAGGCGAGUCAGUGCAAGCAGGAAAUCCCAAGCAGUAUGAUGAGGCAAAUCUUCUUCACUCUUUUAGUGUUGGCUGUGGUGGUGUUGAUGGCGGAAUCCCGGAGUUUCAGGCUCGAGGAAGUGUUAACGAGAUUACGAAGAAACUGCUUCUGCACCACACUUCCCUGCCCUUGUGACGUCAGAGAUGGAUAUCCCUUUAAGGACACCUUCUUUGCUUAAGUUUCUGCAAUAACAUCGUCAUGUGCGCAUCGAUUUAGCAAAGGAUUGUAUAGGAAACGUGAGGAUGUUAUCAUACGUGCAGAUUUCAGAUUCAAGAUGGAGACAUGUGUCGCACUAUUAAAUAUGUAAAACACACACACAGAUACACACACACACGCACGUCCUAUGACGCAAACACGGUCAUAAACAUAUACUCACACACAAACACACACACAUACACACACACACACACAUAUAUAAGCAUACACACUAACCUACGACGCAAACACAGUCAUAAACAUAUACUCACACACAAACACACACACACACACACACACACACAUAACACACAUACAAGCAUACACACUAACCUACGACGCAAACACAGUCAUAAACAUAUACUCACACACAAACACACACACACACACACACACACAUAACACACAUACAAGCAUACACACUAACCUACGACGCAAACACAGUCAUAAACACACACACACACACACAUAACACACAUACAAGCAUACACACUAACCUACGACGCAAACACAGUCAUAAACACACACACACAAAUUUAUAACAACAUUUAUAACAACAUAACUCUCUUCAACCUGCGUUGUAAAAAGCCUUAGCUGAAACGAAUAUUCAGUCCUAAUAUACAUGGAAAUUCUGUAUACGAAAAUGAAAUAAAAAUUUAUAUUUUAAUUAGUGAUA